AGUGAACGCUGGCGGUAGGCCUAACACAUGCAAGUCGAACGGCAGCACAGUAAGAGCUUGCUCUUACGGGUGGCGAGUGGCGGACGGGUGAGGAAUACAUCGGAAUCUACUUUUUCGUGGGGGAUAACGUAGGGGAACUUACGCUAAUACCGCAUACGACCUACGGGUGAAAGCAGGGGAUCUUCGGACCUUGCGCGAUUGCAUGAGCCGAUGUCGGAUUAGCUAGUUGGCGGGGUAAAGGCCCACCAAGGCGACGAUCCGUAGCUGGUCUGAGAGGAUGAUCAGCCACACUGGAACUGAGACACGGUGCAGACUCCUACGGGAGGCAGCAGUGGGGAAUAUUGGACAAUGGGCGCAAGCCUGAUCCAGCCAUACCGCGUGGGUGAAGAAGGCCUUCGGGUUGUAAAGCCCUUUUGUUGGGAAAGAAAAGCAGCAGGUUAAUACCCCGCUGUUCUGACGGUACCCAAAGAAUAAGCACCGGCUAACUCCGUG
rnacentral:rRNA from 1 species